UUACGGCCAUGUCACAAUGAAACACCUCUUCCCAAUGUAUGUGAUCACCGAAGUUAAGCAACCUCGUUCUUGGUCAGUACCUAGAUGGGUGACUGCUUGGGAAUACCAGGUACUGUAAU